UACAGGGGGUGAAAUCGCUAAUCGGAAUUACUGGGCGUAAAGCGCGCGUAGGCCGUCGAGUAAGUCGGAUGUGAAAUCCCCGGGCUUAAACUGGGAAUUGCAUUCGAUACUGCUUGACUAGAGUGUGGAAGAGGGAAGCGGAAUUUCUGGUGUAGCGGUGAAAUGCGUAGAUAUCGGAAGGAACACCAGUGGCGAAGGCGGCUUCCUGGUCUAACACUGACGCUGAGGCGCGAAAGCGUGGGGAGCGAACAGG
rnacentral:rRNA from 1 species